rnacentral:lncRNA from 1 species
GCAGUAUUUGAUAGAAUCAAAUCUAUUCACUCGGCCUUAGAGCAAUCAAGCAAACACGACAAUACUUCAUAUCAAAACCAAUCAACAAUUUCCUAGUCAAUCAUCAAGUCUUAAACUGUUAUUACUAGUAUAGUGCGUGUGUGUGAUCAACAACCAUGCUAACUGAUAUAAAAUAAAAUUUAACACAUAAAAAGUUUCUUUGAAGGCAUCAUACAGUGUAAACUCAAGAAAUCUCAAAGAUAGGCACGAUUCAACUAAAAUUAAACUCAACCAAAUUCAAGGGUACAUGCAGGAUACUUAUAC